CUACGGACUUAAUUGGAUUGAGCUUUGGUAUGGAAACUUACCAAGUGAAAACUUUCAAAUUCAGAGAAACUCUGGAAUUAAAAAUGGGCAAUCCUGAGCCAAAUCCUUCUUUCCAAAAACAAAUAAAUAAAAGUUUAGAAAGUGAAAAUUAAAAAAGGAUAGGUGCAGAGACUCAAUGGAAGCUGUUCUAACAAUUGGAGUUGACAACAUUUACUCUUUCAAUAGAAUAAUCUUG
rfam:Medicago truncatula strain A17 chromosome 4, whole genome shotgun sequence.